UCUGUAGCGGUUUCCUUCAGAGCAGGUGGUGACUGCUCCUUGGGGAGCAAGGAGGAGGCCCAGGCCGCGCGGCCAUGCUCGGGCGCGCACCACCCGAAGGUGAGGCAUUUGGCCCCAAACGGGCCUUCGGAAAGCCCAGCUGCUCGAGAAGUUAUCUUACAGCUUGAUCUGCCGCACCUGCUCGAGGGCGCGAGCGCCCCACCCUUCCCCUGGUGUGGAGCGACACCAGCGCCCGAUGACGCGUGGUCAGGCAGAGCAAAUGUUUGAUGAAUGAAUGAAUGGCUCCCUCACUCGCGGAGCUCAGAGGAGUUUGACGGAAGUCCAAGCUCUUUGUAAACUGCGUAGCAUUGUAAAGAUGCGAGUUGUGACACAUCCCUCUUACCCCUCUCCCCCCGAAGGAAAUGGGGCUGCGGCUGAAAUGAGGAGUCCCAACCUGAGUCUUUAGUGGAAAAGGAGGCGAACUGCUGGGACGAAAGAAGGGAGCCGUCCUCCCAGGGAUUGUGGAAGGAUUUUUGACUUUUCAGGAGGAGAAUUUAGUACUGAUUCCCUUUUAGGAAUCAUUCGUGUUUGUGGCUUGGAGCUUUGGAAAGCUGGUAUUGGUUGUUAAUCGGUGUCCAUUACUGUAAUCAAGAAAUUUUGGCCUGUGUUCAGGUCUGACUCAAAGGCUAUUUCCUUUCUAAAAUAAAUAUUAUUACUAUUUAUACUGGUUUUCCUACAGGUGUUAUCCUGGAAAGUAAAUUCAAGUAAAAACUCAUGAAGUUGACAGUGUAGUUCUCUAGGACAGGAAAUUUUAAGAUAAAACGAUUUCAGAUUCCUCAGAAAUCUGUCUUGCACCUGUCCUGAUGAAUAGUGUGAGAAGGGGAUAAAAGCAGGGACGAAAGGAAGCAGAUUCCGCAGUUGGGUCUCUGGACGCUGGCGCACAUUACCUCUUCCGGAAGCAGCGAUAGUGACUAUUACGGAUCUUUAGGGGCAGGUUUUUAUAUAAAGAUCUGGGGAGCUCAGAGUUUCUGCCCCUGCUGCCACCACCAUAUGCAAAUACAUCAAGGAACCUUGUAACUGGAUUUGACUCUCUUCUUAUGACUGGUCCCUGCCAGAUCCUUCCAAAUAAGACUCACAAGGAAUCUGAACAGCGAGUGAUAGCCCCACAUGGCUACAUGUGUAAAUCAUUUGGGGUUUUGCUCCUCUUCCUAAUUUUUUGAUGGAAAUUGAAGGAAUAAAAUACACAGAUUGAGGGGAUUUUGUAAAGCCUAGCACCACAGAUUUCUGUUAACUUUGGCUAGAAGAAAUGCAAACAUCAGAGCUCUGCAACCCAGCAGAGGACACCUCCAGGGAAGUGUGUAACCAACCACAUGGAGCUUUUCAGCAGCCUGAUUGGUUUUCGUUGUCAGUGGUUCCACCAGAGAACCUUGGUGCUGAGAGGCAGCAUAGCAGGGAGGAGAGCCCUCAGCCAACUACUGAUGAACUUCCAGCUGCACUAGCUUACUAGGCAAGACCCACCCAGUUCACCACCCGGUAUGCUGACUGGAGGAAACAGCUGGAACUGGCGGCUGCAGAACAGGAAGCUCCUACAUUGCCAGCUUGGUCUGCAUCUCUUCAGUGCUUUCAUUUCUUACUGCUCCAGAGAAGAAAACAACUGGUUCAUUCGAAAUUCAAAAAAAGAAAUCUGAAGUUUUAGGAUACAGAGUUCUUUCCCUGGCUCAUCAGUUUGUGUAUAAUAAGGAUCUGCAUAGUAUGUUAAAAUAUAACAGAGGGAUAUUUGUAUAGGGUUCUUUUCUCCUACACUUGAAAGUGAGCUCGUAUGAGAAACUAUUUUAUCAGCUUCAUUAUCCCACAUCAGUAGUUUUUGCUGUAAAAGAUUUCAUAAGCUAAAUUCUCUAGCAGUAUUUCUUUCUAGAAAUUCCAUCUACAAUAUUCAAUUACUUUUAGUGGUUUGAUUGUGAAAUAUGCAUUAAAAUGCAUAAAGCAGUUACUCAGUAAAAUAAGUAAUUGUAAAAGAAGCCUCCAUGUAACCAACCAGGUCAAGAAAUGGAGCAUUUCCAGCACCCUAGAAGUAUCCCAGUGACCUUCCGGAAUACAACUCUUUCCCUCCCUUUUUGAGGUAACUAUUAUUCUAACUUUAGUGAUAGCCAUUUCCUUGCUUUUCUCUAUAGUUUUAUUACAAGCAUGUGUAUCUCUAAACAACAUAUUAUUUGGUUUUGCCCUUUCUCUUGGAACAACAGUAUGUAACCUGUUUUGAUUACAGCUUUUGCUCAACAUGUUUUUUAAUCUGUGAUACGUUGUUUGGGUUGUUCAUAUAACUGUAGUUUGUUCAUUUUAAUUGCUGUUUUACGGUGUUCCAUUAUGGCAAUAUGGCAUAAUUUAUUUAGCCAUUCUAUUGUUGAUGAAUAUCUGGGUUGUUUCCAGUUUGAAAUUGUUGUAAAUACUGCUGUAAAUAUUUCUUGCAUAUGUAUUCCAUCACAUCUGGUUUCUAUAUGGUAUAUACCUGGGAGUAGUUACGUGUGUUCUAGAUUUGAAUGAAUAAUUCCAAGCUGUUUUCUAAAGUGUUACACUCACACCAGCAUUGUAUGAACCUCAUGUCCACACCCUCAACCACAAUCCAUAUAGUCAGUCCUUUUCUGCCUUGCCAGUCUGGUGGGAGUUUGAGCUUGCAUUUCCCUAAUUGCUGAUGCCGAUGAGGACUUUUUCAUAUAUCAACUGGCCAUUUGUAUUUCUUUUGUGAAAUGUGUUAUCAUUUUCAUGCCUAAUCACUGAGAUACCCAACUUUCCAAUAUCCUUAUAGUUCAUAUUUGAAUAAUAUAUGUCAGGUAAGGUAAUACUACCAAAUGAGUUACAUUUGGGACAAGUUCUUUCCAAAAUAAGAAUAAUUAUAUUAAUAGUUUGUCUAAUUAUCUCUUAUGAAUUUGAUGAUAAACUUCUUAAGAGUAGGUCUAUAAGGCUAUAUUUUUUACAUUACCAAAUAAUGUUACACUUUGAACUAUUAAAGUGUUGCUGGAAUCCCUCAUGGUGCUUUGGUGUGACUUAGUUUUCCUCAAGUAUGUAGUCAGAUGUUUAUUCAAUGAACCUGUGUAACUAAACUCUUGCUUUGUAUUUUAUAGGCAACUAUGUAACAAAUUGUUUCACCUGCACAAAUUUUUUUUCAUUUCCAGUUUCAUUCAUUUUAUGAAAGUUACAAUGGCUUUUUCUUCCCUCCUACAAUUCCUGCUAAAAUACAUGUUUUGUUUUUCUUUUUAA